CCUACGGGAGGCAGCAGUGAGGAAUAUUGGACAAUGGGCGCAAGCCUGAUCCAGCCAUGCCGCGUGCAGGAAGACGGUCCUAUGGAUUGUAAACUGCUUUUGUACAGGAAGAAACACUCCCUCGUGAGGGAGCUUGACGGUACUGUAAGAAUAAGGAUCGGCUAACUCCGUGCCAGCAGCCGCGGUAAUACGGAGGAUCCAAGCGUUAUCCGGAAUCAUUGGGUUUAAAGGGUCCGUAGGCGGUUUAAUAAGUCAGUGGUGAAAUCUGGUCGCUCAACGAUCAAACGGCCAUUGAUACUGUUAGACUUGAAUUAUUAGGAAGUAACUAGAAUAUGUAGUGUAGCGGUGAAAUGCUUAGAUAUUACAUGGAAUACCAAUUGCGAAGGCAGGUUACUACUAAUGGAUUGACGCUGAUGGACGAAAGCGUGGGGAGCGAACAGGAUUAGAUACCCUGGUAGUCCACGCCGUAAACGAUGGAUACUAGCUGUUGGGCGCAAGUUCAGUGGCUAAGCGAAAGUGAUAAGUAUCCACCUGGGGAGUAACGUUCGCAAGAAUGAAACUUCAAGGAAUUGACCGGNGNGAGAGNGCGAGACGACGACGAGGGAGGAGG
rnacentral:rRNA from 1 species